rnacentral:rRNA from 1 species
CCUGCAUGAAGCUGGAAUUGCUAGUAAUCGCGGAUCAGCAAGCCGCGGUGAAUACGUUCCCGGGCCUUGUACACACCGCCCGUCACACCAUGAGAGUCGGGAACACCCGAAGUCCGUAGUCUAACCGCAAGGGGGCGCGGCCGAAGGUGGGUCCGGUAAUUGGGUGAAGUCGUAACAAGGUACC